UACGAAGGGGGCUAGCGUUGCUCGGAAUCACUGGGCGUAAAGGGUGCGUAGGCGGGUCUUUAAGUCAGGGGUGAAAUCCUGGAGCUCAACUCCAGAACUGCCUUUGAUACUGAAGAUCUUGAGUUCGGGAGAGGUGAGUGGAACUGCGAGUGUAGAGGUGAAAUUCGUAGAUAUUCGCAAGAACACCAGUGGCGAAGGCGAGC
rnacentral:rRNA from 1 species